rnacentral:rRNA from 1 species
UUCCGGUUGAUCCUGCCGGACCCUACUGCUAUCGGGGUGGGACUAAGACAUGCGAGUCGAGCGUCUCCAGCUAUGGUGAGACGCGGCAGACGGCUCAGUAACACGUGGCUAACCUACCCUCAGGACAGGGACAAACCCGGGAAACUGGGGCUAAUACCCGAUAGGCGAGGGCGCCUGGAAUGGUUCUUCACCCAAAGGGCUUUGGAAGCAUGCUUUUCAAAGUCGCCUGGGGAUGGGGCCGCGUCCGAUCAGGUUGUUGGUGAGGUAACGGCUCACCAAGCCUAUAACCGGUACGGGCCGUGAGAGCGGUAGCCCGGAGAUGGGCACUGAGACAAGGGCCCAGGCCCUACGGGGCGCAGCAGGCGAGAAAACUUUGCAAUGUGCGAAAGCACGACAAGGUUAAUCCGAGUGUUUCCUGCUAAAGGAAUCUUUUGUCAGUCCUAAAAACACUGAUGAAUAAGGGGUGGGCAAGUUCUGGUGUCAGCCGCCGCGGUAAAACCAGCACCUCAAGUGGUCAGGAGGAUUAUUGGGCCUAAAGCAUCCGUAGCCGGCUGCACAAGUCUUCGGUUAAAUUCAUAUGCUCAACAUAUGGGCUGCCGGAGAUACUGUGCAGCUAGGGAGUGGGAGAGGUGGACGGUACUCGAUAGGAAGGGGUAAAAUCCUUUGAUCUAUUGAUGACCACCUGUGGCGAAGGCGGUCCACUAGAACACGUCCGACGGUGAGGGAUGAAAGCUGGGGGAGCAAACCGGAUUAGAUACCCGGGUAGUCCCAGCUGUAAACUAUGCAAACUCAGUGAUGCAUUGGCUUGUGGCCAGUGCAGUGCCGCAGGAAGCCGUUAAGUUUGCCGCCUGGAAGUACGUACGCAGUAUGAAACUAAAGAUGGCGGGGAGCACACAGGGUGAGCUUGCGUUCAUGGAUCACGCCG